ensembl:lncRNA
UCUAAGUAAAGGUGCAAAUCUUUUUGGGCACUGGCUUCACUUACAAUUAAGUACCAUGGAUAAGGUGUUUGUUCUGUAAUCUGUUUUAAGACCACCUCAACUCUCAUACACACCUUGGAUCGGCAAACAUCCCACCUUGAGGAUGUAAGAAGAUAUUUUAGAGGUGUCUUCUCUUUAUCACCACCCGAUGGUGCAUCUCGAAGGAUGCUGCUUACCUGUUCUCUUUAUCACCACCCAACGCGUGCUCAGGUGCACGGCAGUGUCAUCCCCCAUUGCUUAGACAUGCUUGUGCGGAGUGAGAGGACAGAUUUGAAUCGAUGGCAGACGGGCCCUCUAAACCCACUCCAACUUCUGUCUUUCUCUCAGCCCACUUGGGAUCUGCAGUGUAAUACACCGCAGACUAAAUCCGGUGAUACUCCUGCAGUAUUUGAAGCAUGGGUGGCUGCAUAAUGAGCAGUCUGUGUGUCCUUUCCCUUUCCUGUCCCCUACCCUCCUCUUCCAAUAUGCAGGAAAUGGCGUCUGGCCUCUUGACAGAUAAUGUGACACACACGUGUGCGGACGGAAACUGGGGCUGUGAGCCACAAAGAGCCACAGUGGGUCCUGGCCCCUGAUAACAUCAGGGAAGGAGAAGAGAAGAGAGGUGUCUACGGGAAGUUGCCAGGUUUGGGAAGGCCUGGAGAAUCCCGGUUAUCUCCCAGAGGAGUCAGGAGAUGGAGUGUGGCCCUCCCCGGCAGCAGGCCAGGCGAUGGAGUGCUGGGACCUUUGUUUGUCAUCACCAUUUCCCCUUCAUCCUGUGUCAUGACCUUACAGAGUUCAUUUCAAACUGAGAAUUCAUUGACUGCUUCUCAAGCCUUCAGAAUAUGGAAGGAGUUGAUCAUUAGACAAGUAGACGUGACUGCUUCUUAUCAGCGAAUUUGAUUUGUGAAGGGAAAAAGGUGUGCUUUGGCUGUGGAAUGCAAAGUGACAACCACAAAUUAUCAUUACGACUGAGACAUAACAAAUAUUUCCUCUACAACUUCACUUUCAAACAAUGCUUUGUUUGGUGGGGUUGGGGUUGUAGAGAGCGAUUCUGGUCUAAUCUGAAUAUAUUUGAAUUUAUUUGGUUUGAUUAAAUGUUUCUUUUAAAUGUUACCAAUUGUGUUUGAGUCAAAAUCUUUGCGAAGCUGUUCAUAAUGUACAAAGGUAAUGGAAUAUUAAAUUAUGCCAUUAAUACAAAGGGUUACACUUUAUUUUAAGGUGUUAUGUUACAGUGUAAUUAUACAUUUAAGUACUGAGCUUACUGAGCUCAACUACAUGUACUUACUAUAGGGUUAGGGUUAGGAUGAGGGAUUGGUUUAGGAUUAGUUGCAUGCAAUUAUGCAUAAUUUACUCUUAUUAUAAUAGUAAGUACAUGUAACCUGUAACAAGGACACCGUAAAAUAAAGUUUCACCAUAUAAAGUCUAACACUUUAUUUUAAGGUGUCCUUGUUACAGUGUAAUUAUACCUUUAAGUACUGAGUAAUAUUAAUUAACUACAUGUACUUACUAUAUGGUUAGGGUUAGGAUUAGGGUUUGGUUUAGGGUUACUUGUAUGUAAUUAUGCAUAAUUAAUUGUUAUUAUAAUAGUAAGUGUAUGUAACAUGCAACAAGGAGACCUUAAAAUAACAUGUUUCCCACUUUAAAAUAAGAUUUAAUUUGUGAAUAUUAUUACA